UCGAUCAGAUAAAUGCCCGAGGGCCUGCUGCUUUGCUCGUGUUCAAAGUAGAAGAGCACAUUCUGGUAGAGGGCGAACCACUUAUCAUGCCACUUGUUGUUCUCGGACGUCCGCUUGCUCAGGGCUUCCCAACCUAGGGUCCACAGAACCCCUCAGGAUAAUGCCAUGACACAGUGUUGCACCUGGAUGACAGACUUGAGUGGAACACCAACAGAGGCUGUGUACAAGAACAUCCAGAGUCGCCGCUACUUCCUGAGGAGACUGAGGCCCUUUGGAGUAUGUAGGCCUCUCCUUCACAUGUUCUACCAGUCUGUUGUCGCCAGUACAAUCUUCUAUGUGGUGAUGUGCUGGGGCAAUGGCAUCAACAUGGGUGAUGCCAACAGGCUCAAUAAACUGAUUAGAAAGGCUGGCUCUGUUAUAGGAGUCAAACUGGACACACUGGAGCCUGUGGUGGAACAAAGGACCCUAUGGAAAAUCCUGGCAAUCCUGGACAAUGUUUCUCACCCUCUGCAUGACACCUUGGCUGAACAGAGGAGUAGUUUCGUAAUAGACUAAGACAACUGCGCUGCCCCAAAGAAUGCUAUAUGAGGUCAUUCAUACCCUCGGCCAUUAGGCUCUAUAAUGAGUCAACCUAUAGCCGGGGGAGUGAUGACCACUCCCUCCUAUUACCUUUGAGGUGACUUAUUUUUUAUUCUUUCUUACUUCUAAUAUUUGUAUAUCUGUGCACUUGUAACGCUACUGUGACACUGUCGUUUCCUUUGAGAUCAAUAAAGUAUCUAUCUCUGUCCACGUUAUACCUGCCAAUCUCCAACUGCACUACAAAAUCAUCUACCAUAUUCCAAUACUGUGUGUAUUUAAAUAUAACACCUUCAGUCCUGUAUUCAUCAUCCUUCUUAAUUUUGCCCAUUUGUUAUGCUUCAUCUGCCUGUCCCUGCUCAGUAAUGCCACACACUGUAUCUGCUUGUAUACCAACUGCUCCAUCCUCAGCCCUAUCACUCUGGUUCCCAUCCCAUAUUUAUACCCUUCCCAACAACUCUGGCAAACCUACCCACAAGGGUAUUGGUCCCCCCCCCCCCAGGUUCAAGUGUAACCUGUCCUUUUUGAAGAUGUCACACCUUCCCCAGGAGAGACCCCAAUGAUUCAGAAAUCCUGCCCCUUGUAAUCAUUAUUAGUAAAUUUCCCAGUGCUGGAUUGCAUACCUUGAGGGUUAUAUGGGGGUAGAAGAUUGGCAUCUAUUUCAAAAGGUACAUCAAAAAUAGGCACUAUUACUAUUGAAUAAAACAAGAUUUUGUAUCUGUAACUUUAGUAUGUGUAUUUUAUGAUAACAUUUUAAAGAUCCAGUUCAGAAAGUGAAUUAAUCAACAGCCUUUGAUGCAGUGGUCUCGGUGCACUAUUUAUUAAAUUUAGUUACUGUGUAUGUUGGGUGGCAGAGUGGAGAUAUGUCUCUACCAAGGGAGGUGUAAGGUGCUCCUUCCCUCUGCUCCUGAUGCACCUACCAAAUGUAUUCACAAUGUAUUUGAUUGUGAGCCUGGUCACCGUAUGUUGUCAGGGGAAACUGGAAGCACAGCACCAGUCUCACUCACAACUUCACUCCACAGCCCCCUGAACAGAGGGUUCAGCUAUCACACCAUUCGUCAAUUACAUUUGAUGUCUCCACACUUCUUUUCAUCUAUUUUUACUUUUACCCCACAUAAUCUUUGAAAUUAAGCUCAACACUUUUUCAUUUUUUAACCUCAUUUGCGGUUUCUAAAUGACAAUAAGCUGAAUCUGAAAUACUGAAACACUUUGUUCCCCUCUUGCAAGUAGUUUGUAAGUAGUCAGUCCAUUGACUUUUUUGG